GUCCACGCCCUAAACGAUGAUAACUCGAUGUGUGCGAUAUACAGUACGCGUCUAAGCGAAAGCAUUAAGUUAUCCACCUGGGAAGUACGACCGCAAGGUUGAAACUCAAAGGAAUUGACGGGGGCCCGCACAAGCGGAGGAGCAUGUGGUUUAAUUCGAUGAUACGCGAGGAACCUUACCAGGGCUUGAAAGUUAAGGAAUGAUGUAGAAAUAUGUCAGUCAGCAAUGACCUGAAACUAGGUGCUGCAUGGCUGUCGU
rnacentral:rRNA from 1 species